ensembl:lncRNA
GAAAUAUGUAUGAAAUUGAAUAUGCAUUCAUCAAUUCUCUGUUUUUCUUUAAAACGUUGCUGAGUUCACCAUACGUCAACGGACGACUCCUGUUAAAAAACAAUUGGCACAGUCCAGAAUGGAUGGGUAGAGUUCAUUCUUUAAAACCAUCGGAUUGGUCCAUGAUGUGCAAACUCCACCCUCCAGUACACCAGUGCACACCAGCUGUAUGACAUCCGGAGUACCUAAUCGCAAUUGGGAAAUUGAACCAAUGGAAAUGAAGUUUAUUGGCUGACAGAUUAGCCAGCCAGGUUAGAAAGGUCUGGAAUUCCGUUAUGAGGUGCAACCAAAACAGCAAACAACGGUUUUGUUGUGUGUUUUGAUCACUAAAAUGGCUGUGACUUUUGGACUCUCUUUGAGUGUUUCUUGGAUUUGUUGCCUGCUAAUUGGAGGGAUAACUUGUUUUACACUUAAAGGUAAUGCUCAUGGGCAUCCUACCUACACUGGACCUGAACCAACUGGAUCCUAUGCCCAAGCAAGUGUGGUGUCUGGUCCAAAUGCUAAAGCUACUGGCCAAAAUGCCACGUCAGCAGAAGCUACUGGCCACAAUGCCACGUCAGCAGAAGCUACUGGCCACAAUGCCAUGUCAAGUGUCAAGUCCGGCCCCGGCGCCUCAGCAGAAGCAACAGGCCCCGGCGCCUCAGCAGAAGCAACAGGCCCCGGCGCCUCAGCAGAAGCAACAGGCCCCGGCGCCUCAGCAGAAGCAACAGGCCCCGGCGCCUCAGCAGAAGCAACAGGCCCCGGCGCCUCAGCAGUAGCGUCCGGCCCCGGCGCCUCAGCAGUAGCGACAGGCCCCGGCGCCUCAGCAGAAGCGACAGGCCCCGGCGCCUCAGCAGAAGCGACAGGCCCCGGCGCCUCAGCAGAAGCGACAGGCCCCCGCGCCUCGUCAGCAGAAGCUACUGGCCACAAUGUCACGUCAGCAGAAGCUACUGGCCACAAUGCCACGUCAGCAGAAGCUACUGGCCACAAUGCCAUGUCAAGUGUAAAGUCCGGCCCCGGCGCCUCAGUAGAAGCAACAGGCCCCGGCGCCUCAGCGGUAGCGUCCGGCCCCGGCGCCUCAGCGGAAGCAACAGGCCCCGGCGCCUCAGCGGAAGCAACAGGCCCCGGCGCCUCAGCUGAAGCAACAGGCCCCCGGCGCCUCAGCAGAAGCAACAGGCCCCGGCGCCUCAGCAGAAGCAACAGGCCCCGGCGCCUCAGCAGAAGCAACAGGCCCCGGCGCCUCAGCAGAAGCGGCAGGCCCCGGCGCCUCAGCAGAAGCGACAAGCCUUGAACAGACGGCCCGACCUCUCAACUAGGGAGAUCAUAAUUUGGUUUGGCCAACUCUUUAAUCGUCUUAUCCCUGUUACCUUUACCCUUUUCUGCAAGAGGCACAGUAACUGAGGUGGGGAAAUGUGUGAACUAAUGCGCUUGUUUGAAAUGAGGAUCUCCUUCACUUGUACAUCGUCAUGCAAAUUGUAUACAGAGGUGGAUGAUACAAUGUUAUGAAUCGUUUUUAUAAACCUACGACUAAAUUGACUUCUGAUGUAGCGAUAUUGCAGACACACUUUUAGGUUCUACGGUUAUGCUUUUGAUUUAGCCUGGUGUUCCUGCAACUCUUGCAUGAUUUGCUCAAUAAACCAUUUGACUUUCAAAAAACCUUGUCCUUAAAAUAUAAUCUCUUCUGCCUACCAUGUGCUUGCUGUUUGGUAACAGACUGUGGGCCUGGAGUAAAAGGGAAUUUGCGUUUUUGUUAUACACUUGUCUAAACAGAUUUGUUUCUGCUAGUUUGUUCUAAAGUUUUCUAACUUGUCAGAGCUCCCUCAUAUGUUCAUACACUACCUGUCCCUUAGUGUAGGCUGUUUGCUUUACAGUAAUCUGCCUUUUUCCACCAAUGCCUAAAGAAUGUGAAUGCAGUGUAACUCAUCGUCCCAUUACCUGUCACUAACCUGUCCCAGGGACGCUGAAGUUUCUCCUUGACCUUAUUCAGAAACAUUAAAUCAACUUGACACAUUCUGACUGUUCUACAAUGUUGGUCUGGCCAGACACAUGGAUGCAAUCAUAUGCGUGCAUUUAUUUCAGCUGUGAAAAGUACUCGAAGUCGUUCAGACAUUCCUUAUGUCAACUCUCAAUGUGGUCUUCUGCACAAUCCAUUUCUACACUACCACAAUGAGGUUGCACUCGCAGAAGCCCCUGACAGGAACUUCAAUAGAUUUUAUAAAGGUGCUCUUAAGCUCUCACUUUGUACAACAUUAUCUAGAGACAUAAAUAUGAAUUUGUUCUUAAGCCUGGCUGGUGACUUGCUUUUUUUUUUUU